UACGGAGGGCGCGAGCGUUAAUCGGAAUUACUGGGCGUAAAGCGCGCGUAGGCUGUUGUGUAAGUUGGGGGUGAAAUCCCACGGCUCAACCGUGGAACAGCCCUUGAUACUGCGCGACUUGAAUCCGGGAGAGGGUGGCGGAAUUCCAGGUGUAGGAGUGAAAUCCGUAGGUAUCUGGAGGAACAUCAGUGGCGAAGGCGGCCACCUGGACCGGUAUUGACGCUGAGGCGCGAAAGCGUGGGGAGCAAACAGG
rnacentral:rRNA from 1 species